GACAGAGGGUGCAAACGUUGCUCGGAAUUACUGGGCGUAAAGGGCGCGUAGGCGGCCACCGCAAGUCGACUGUGAAAUCUCUGGGCUUAACCCAGAACGGUCAGCCGAUACUGCGGGGCUAGAGUGCAGAAGGGGCAACUGGAAUUCUCGGUGUAGCGGUGAAAUGCGUAGAUAUCGAGAGGAACACCUGCGGCGAAGGCGGGUUGCUGGGCUGACACUGACGCUGAGGCGCGAAAGCUAGGGGAGCGAACGGG
rnacentral:rRNA from 1 species